rnacentral:rRNA from 1 species
CAAUAGCGUAUAUUAAAGUUGUUGCGGUUAAAAAGCUCGUAGUUGGAUUUCUGCCGAGGACGACCGGUCCGCCCUCCGGGUGAGCAUCUGGCUCGGCCUAGGCAUCUUCUUGGGGAGCGUAUCUGCACUUCAUUGUGUGGUGCGGUAUCCAAGACUUUUACUUUGAGGAAAUUAGAGUGUUUCAAGCAGGCCCACGCCUUGAAUACAUUAGCAUGGAAUAAUAAGGUAGGACCUCGGUUCUAUUUUGUUGGUUUCUAGAAUUGAGGUAAUGAUUAAUAGGGAUAGUUGGGGGCAUUCGUAUUUAACUGUCAGAGGUGAAAUUCUUGGAUUUGUUAAAGACGGACUACUGCGAANGNAUUUGGNAAGGAUGUUUNCAUUG